AUUGAACGCUGGCGGCAGGCCUAACACAUGCAAGUCGAACGAGUGGCGGACGGGUGAGUAAUGUCUGGGAAACUGCCCGAUGGAGGGGGAUAACUACUGGAAACGGUAGCUAAUACCGCAUACCAUCGGAUGUGCCCAGAUGGGAUUAGCUAGUAGGUGGGGUAACGGCUCACCUAGGCGACGAUCCCUAGCUGGUCUGGGAGGAUGACCAGGCACCCUGGAACUGAGAAACGGUCCCGACUCCUACGGGGGGGAAGCGUGGGGAAUAUUGCCAAAUGGGGGCCAGGCCGAUGCAGCCCUGCCGGGUGGAAUAAGAAGGCCUUCGGGUUGUAAAAUUCUUUCAGCGAGGGGGCGUUACUCGCAGAAGAAGCACCGGCUAACUCCGUGCCAGCAGCCGCGGUAAUAC
rnacentral:rRNA from 1 species